rnacentral:rRNA from 1 species
UACAGAGGGUGCAAGCGUUAAUCGGAAUUACUGGGCGUAAAGCGUGCGUAGACGGUUAUGUAAGUCAGAUGUGAAAGCCCCGGGCUCAACCUGGGAAUUGCAUUUGAGACUGCAUAGCUAGGGUGCGGAAGAGGGAAGCGGAAUUUCCGGUGUAGCGGUGAAAUUCGUAGAUAUCAGGAGGAACACCGGUGGCGAAAGCGGCUUCCUGGCCCGACACUGACGCUCAUGUACGAAAGCGUGGGGAGCAAACAGG